AGAACGAACGCUGGCGGCAUGCCUAAUACAUGCAAGUCGAACGAACACUUCGGUGUUAGUGGCGCACGGGUGCGUAACGCGUGGGAAUCUGCCCUUGGGUUCGGAAUAACAGUUGGAAACGACUGCUAAUACCGGAUGAUGACGAAAGUCCAAAGAUUUAUCGCCCAGGGAUGAGCCCGCGUAGGAUUAGCUAGUUGGUGAGGUAAAGGCUCACCAAGGCGACGAUCCUUAGCUGGUCUGAGAGGAUGAUCAGCCACACUGGGACUGAGACACGGCCCAGACUCCUACGGGAGCAGCAGUAGGGAAUAUUGGACAAUGGGCGCAAGCCUGAUCCAGCAAUGCCGCGUGAGUGAUGAAGG
rnacentral:rRNA from 1 species